rnacentral:rRNA from 1 species
UACGUAGGGUGCAAGCGUUAAUCGGAAUUACUGGCGUAAAGCGUGCGCAGCGGUUUGUAAGUCAGAUGUGAAAUCCCCCGGGCUCAACCUGGGAAUUGCAUCUGUGACUGCAUAGCUAGAGUACGGUAGAGGGGGAUGGAAUUCCGCGUGUAGCAGUGAAAUGCGUAGAUAUGCGGAGGAACACCGAUGGCGAAGGCAAUCCCCUGGACCUGUACUGACGCUCAUGCACGAAAGCGUGGGGAGCAAACAGG